AAAGUAGGAGGCGAGCGUUAUCCGGAUUCACUGGGCGUAAAGCGCACGUAGGCGGUUGGGUAAGUCGGACGUGAAAGCCCCUGGCUCAACUAGGGGAGGCCGUUCGAUACUGCUCGGCUUGAGGGUGAGAGAGGGAAGCGGAAUUCCCGGUGUAGCGGUGGAAUGCGUAGAGAUCGGGAGGAACACCAGUGGCGAAGGCGGCUUCCUGGCUCACUUCUGACGCUGAAGUUGCGAAAGCGUGGGGAGCAAACGGG
rnacentral:rRNA from 1 species